rnacentral:rRNA from 1 species
UACGAAGGGGGCUAGCGUUGUUCGGAAUUACUGGGCGUAAAGCGCACGUAGGCGGAUAUUUAAGUCAGGGGUGAAAUCCCGGGGCUCAACCCCGGAACUGCCUUUGAUACUGGGUAUCUUGAGUAUGGUAGAGGUGAGUGGAAUUCCGAGUGUAGAGGUGAAAUUCGUAGAUAUUCGGAGGAACACCAGUGGCGAAGGCGGCUCACUGGACCAUUACUGACGCUGAGGUGCGAAAGCGUGGGGAGCAAACAGG